CAUUUUAAAACAUGCUAUCAAUUCUUGGAGAUAAGAUGUAUUUGGAGUAACACAUAUUUCUUUUAAUUUUCAGGAAAUGUUUGGAUUGUGAGCUAUUUCAGAACUCUGUUCUCAGGACCAUUAUUUGAACAUUUGGGAGAAACACAUCCAGAAGCUGACUGUAGGAGGACA
rnacentral:lncRNA from 1 species